GUCUACUGCCAUAUCACCCGAAUGCGCCCAAUCUCCUCUGAUCUCAAAAGUUAAGCAGGGUCAGGCCUGGCUAGUACUUGGAUGGGAGGACACUAAAACAAUGACAGUGACU
rnacentral:rRNA from 1 species